GCCUAGCCCCGAUUGAAGCUAUUGUUUGAGCUCAUUUCUGUUUUCGGGUUGCGGCGGCUUCGCCGCCGCAACCCGAAAACAGAAAUGAGCGAGUGCGGAAAGCGGGAAAAGCU
rnacentral:misc_RNA from 1 species